UGGGUAUAAACCUGAACGAGUUGAGGGA
rnacentral:piRNA from 1 species